rnacentral:rRNA from 1 species
GAAAUGCGAUAAGUAAUGCGAAUUGCAGAAUUCCAGUGAGUCAUCGAAUCUUUGAACGCACAUUGCGCCCUUUGGUACUCCGAAGGCAUGCCUGUUCGAGCGUCAUUAUCACCCCUCAAGCCCCCGCGCUUGGUGUUGGACGGCCGGCUGAGCGAUCGACCCCUCCUAAAGACAAUGACGGCGGCCUGUGGUUCCCCCGGUACACUGAGCUUUUCAUCGAGCACGUAUCGGACAAGGGCACCCGGGACCCCGGUCCUCUCCUUUAACUAGGAAACUUCUAAGGUUGACCUCGGAUCAGGUAGGAAUACGCGCUGAACUUAA